rnacentral:rRNA from 1 species
UCAUGGCUCAGAUUGAACGCUGGCGGCAGGCCUAACACAUGCAAGUCGAACGGUAACAGGAAGCAGCUUGCUGCUUCGCUGACGAGUGGCGGACGGGUGAGUAAUGUCUGGGAAACUGCCUGAUGGAGGGGGAUAACUACUGGAAACGGUGGCUAAUACCGCAUAACGUCGCAAGACCAAAGAGGGGGACCUUCGGGCCUCUUGCCAUCAGAUGUGCCCAGAUGGGAUUAGCUUGUUGGUGAGGUAACGGCUCACCAAGGCGACGAUCCCUAGCUGGUCUGAGAGGAUGACCAGCCACACUGGAACUGAGACACGGUCCAGACUCCUACGGGAGGCAGCAGUGGGGAAUAUUGCACAAUGGGCGCAAGCCUGAUGCAGCCAUGCCGCGUGUAUGAAGAAGGCCUUCGGGUUGUAAAGUACUUUCAGCGGGGAGGAAGGUGUUGUGGUUAAUAACC